UGGUCCAAAAUUGGAUCUAUCUAUUGUUUUUCGUCCUUAUCAACAUAAAAAGAUUAUUAUACCCUUAUAUUUGUUUUUUUUUAAUUUUUUAUAUUUAUUCAAAUGUUUUUCAUUAAUUAAAAUUAAGAAAAAGGUCUCUCUCUCUCUCUCUCUCUCUCUCUCUCUCUCUCUCUCUCUCUCUCUCUCUCUCUCUCUCUCUCUCUCUCUCUCUCUCUCUCUCUCUCUCUCUCUCUCUCUCCAUAUGUGUAACCCACAGAAAAAAUGGGUCGACGCCCUUAUCCACCCAAAUCUUUAUCAUCUUCCUCGCUCCCUUGACGGUCACUACCAUUGCCAUCCCCCGUUACCUGCAAAUCAGAAAUCAAGGAAGAAGCCCAUGAAGUCGGGGUCAAAGUUGUUCUCUAUUUUUGAAGAACACUAGAAGUCAAGAUUUGAUGUGAUCUUCUUUUGGAUCGUAAUCGGUACUAUCACCGCUAUACACCAACUUUGAACUCCAUUACAGCCAUCCUGUCAUCACCCCUUCUAAUCAGCCAUCCUCACAUUCUGCUCCUCUGUUCAUCGGCCUGAACAUAACCUCUAACGCCACCCACAUCACACACCACCGGACUACCAUAACCCAACAUACCUGCAAGCCAACACACAUAUGCCAUCAAAAAAGAUAAAAAGAAAAGAAAAGACAGAAAACGAGAUAGAUUCAGAAGAGAGAAAGAAGAAGGGGUUGUGAUCGAGUUUAAUAAAAAAGAAAAAAAAACGAGAUAGAUUCAGAAGAGAGAAAGAAGAAGAGGUUGUGAUCGAGUUUAAUAAAAAAGAAAAAAAACAAAUACAGGCCUUAACCUCUUCUUGAUAUACCAUAGAAAUCCGAUCAACACUACCAGACUCACUAUCCCCAAGUUCUUGUGAUCUGAAUCGAAGAAGGUUUGGUGAGAAUCGAAUCGGAACAGAAAAGAAGGAAGGGAGGGUCAUGGUUGUUGUCGAUUGAAGCUAGAAUAUGAAGGAGACUACCUGUGAUUGUGAGAGAAGGAGGGGUGCAUCGACUUGAGAUUUGAGCUACGUGUGAUGUGAAAAGUUUGUUGAUGAACACAUUGAAGAACACCGAUGAUUUUUUUUGGGUGAAUGUUUGAUCUGAAAAGUUGAGUUCUUUGUGUGUGUAUGCGUGUGUGUGAGAGAGAGAUAAGUGGGGUAAUAUAUAUUUUUUGUUUUUUUUAAUUAAAGGAAUUACAAUUCAAUUAAAAGAAAUAGAAAAAAAACAAUUUUAAGGGCA